ANCGCGNCCUANCAUGCAGUCGAGCGAAUCGAUGGGAGCUUGCUCCCUGAGAUUAGCGGCGGACGGGUGAGUAACACGUGGGCAACCUGCCUAUAAGACUGGGAUAACUUCGGGAAACCGGAGCUAAUACCGGAUACGUUCUUUUCUCGCAUGAGAAAAGAUGGAAAGACGGUUUACGCUGUCACUUAUAGAUGGGCCCGCGGCGCAUUAGCUAGUUGGUGAGGUAAUGGCUCACCAAGGCGACGAUGCGUAGCCGACCUGAGAGGGUGAUCGGCCACACUGGGACUGAGACACGGCCCAGACUCCUACGGAAGGCAGCAGA
rnacentral:rRNA from 1 species